rnacentral:rRNA from 1 species
GACGAACGCUGGCGGCGUGCUUAACACAUGCAAGUCGAACGAAGUGGCGAACGGGUGAGUAACGCGUAAUCAACCUGCCCUUCAGCGGGGGAUAACAGUUGGAAACGACUGCUAAUACCGCAUACUGAAGGAGGGGAUUGCGUGGGAUUAGCUAGUUGGAGGGGUAACGGCCCACCAAGGCGAUGAACAGUAGCGGGUCGGAGAGGGUGAACGGCAACAUUGGAACGGGGAAACGGCCCAGACUCCUACGGAAGGAAGCAGUGGGGAAUCUUCCGCAAUGGACGAAAGUCGGACGGGGAAAGGCCGCGUGAGGGAGGACGGCCUUCGGGUUGUAAGACUCGGUAAAUCGGGAAGCGGUACCGGAAUAGAAAGCCACGGCUAACUACGUGCCAGCAGCCGCGGUAAUAC